rnacentral:rRNA from 1 species
AGUCGAGGGGUAUGGUUCUUCGGAACCAGAGACCGGCGCACGGGUGCGUAACGCGUAUGCAAUCUGCCUUUCACAGAGGGAUAGCCCAGAGAAAUUUGGAUUAAUACCUCAUAGUAUAGCGACAUCGCAUGAUGAUGCUAUUAAAGUCACAACGGUGAAAGAUGAGCAUGCGUCCCAUUAGCUAGUUGGUAAGGUAACGGCUUACCAAGGCAACGAUGGGUAGGGGUCCUGAGAGGGAGAUCCCCCACACUGGUACUGAGACACGGACCAGACUCCUACGGGAGGCAGCAGUGAGGAAUAUUGGUCAAUGGGCGCAAGCCUGAACCAGCCAUGCCGCGUGCAGGAUGACGGUCCUAUGGAUUGUAAACUGCUUUUGCACAGGAAGAAACACUGAUUCGUGAAUCAGCUUGACGGUACUGUGAGAAUAAGGAUCGGCUAACUCCGUGCCAGCAGCCGCGGUAAUACGGAGGAUCCAAGCGUUAUCCGGAAUCAUUGGGUUUAAAGGGUCCGUAGGCGGUCUGGUAAGUCAGUGGUGAAAGCCCAUCGCUCAACGGUGGAACGGCCAUUGAUACUGCUGGACUUGAAUUAUUAGGAAGUAACUAGAAUAUGUAGUGUAGCGGUGAAAUGCUUAGAGAUUGCAUGGAAUACCAAUUGCGAAGGCAGGUUACUACUAAUGGAUUGACGCUGAUGGACGAAAGCGUGGGUAGCGAACAGGAUUAGAUACCCUGGUAGUCCACGCCGUAAACGAUGGAUACUAGCUGUUGGAAGCAAUUUCAGUGGCUAAGCGAAAGUGAUAAGUAUCCCACCUGG